UACGUAGGGUGCAAGCGUUUAAUCGGAAUUACUGGGCGUAAAGCGUGCGCAGGCGGUUUUGUAAGUCUGUCGUGAAAUCCCCGGGCUCAACCUGGGAAUUGCGAUGGAGACUGCAAGGCUAGAAUCUGGCAGAGGGGGGGUAGAAUUCCACGUGUAGCAGUGAAAUGCGUAGAGAUGUGGAGGAACACCGAUGGCGAAGGCAGCCCCCUGGGUCAAGAUUGACGCUC
rnacentral:rRNA from 1 species